UACGUAGGGUGCGAGCGUUGUCCGGAAUUAUUGGGCGUAAAGAGCUUGUAGGCGGUUUGUCGCGUCUGCCGUGAAAAUCCGGGGCUCAACCCCGGACUUGCGGUGGGUACGGGCAGACUAGAGUGUGGUAGGGGAGACUGGAAUUCCUGGUGUAGCGGUGAAAUGCGCAGAUAUCAGGAGGCACACCGAUGGCGAAGGCAGGUCUCUGGGCCACUACUGACGCUGAGAAGCGAAAGCGUGGUGAGCGAACAGG
rnacentral:rRNA from 1 species